rnacentral:rRNA from 1 species
GAUGAACGCUAGCUACAGGCUUAACACAUGCAAGUCGAGGGGCAGCAUGAACUUAGCUUGCUAAGUUUGAUGGCGACCGGCGCACGGGUGAGUAACACGUAUCCAACCUGCCGAUGACUCGGGGAUAGCCUUUCGAAAGAAAGAUUAAUACCCGAUGGCAUAGUUCUUCCGCAUGGUAGAACUAUUAAAGGAUUUCGGUCAUCGAUGGGGAUGCGUUCCAUUAGGUUGUUGGCGGGGUAACGGCCCACCAAGCCUUCGAUGGAUAGGGGUUCUGAGAGGAAGGUCCCCCACAUUGGAACUGAGACACGGUCCAAAACUCCUACGGGAGGCAGCAGUGAGGAAUAUUGGUCAAAUGGACGAGAGUCUGAACCAGCCAAGUAGCGUGAAGGAUGACUGCCCUAUGGGUUGUAAACUUCUUUUAUACGGGAAUAAAGUGAGGCACGCGUGCCUUUUUGUAUGUACCGUAUGAAUAAGGAUCGGCUAACUCCGUG